UCACUCUGGUUUCUCUUCAGAACACACAAGUCUUUUGCCUUUUACUAAAGACUUCCUUGAAGGGGAACCCCAAUGAGUUGAAACUCUUUUUUGUGGGCAUUGCUGUUUGGCCGAGC